rnacentral:rRNA from 1 species
UACGGAGGGGGCUAGCGUUGUUCGGAAUUACUGGGCGUAAAGCGCACGUAGGCGGACUGUUAAGUCGGGGGUGAAAUCCUGGAGCUCAACUCCAGAACUGCCUUCGAUACUGGAAAGCUCGAGUCCGGGAGAGGUGAGUGGAACUGCGAGUGUAGAGGUGAAAUUCGUAGAUAUUCGCAAGAACACCAGUGGCGAAGGCGGCUCACUGGCCCGGUACUGACGCUGAGGUGCGAAAGCGUGGGGAGCAAACAGG